rnacentral:piRNA from 1 species
AUGAAAUGUAAGAUUAAGGUCC